rnacentral:misc_RNA from 1 species
GAUGAAGAACGCAGCGAAAUGCGAUAAGUAAUGCGAAUUGCAGAAUUCAGUGAAUCAUCGAAUCUUUGAACGCACAUUGCGCCCGCUAGUAUUCUGGCGGGCAUGCCUGUCUGAGCGUCAUUUCAACCCUCGCCCCCGGCUUUUGCUGGGAGCGGUGUUGGGGAUCGGCCGCCCGUCACUGGGAGGCCGGCCCCGAAAUAGAGUGGCGACCACGCCGUGUGCUCCUCUGCGUAGUAGUAAAUCACCUCGCAGGCGGACAGCGGUGCGGCCUGCCGUAAAACCCCCAACUCUUUAUGGUUGACCUCAGAUCAGGUAGGAAUACCCGCUGAACUUAAGCAUAUCAUAAGCGGAGGA